rnacentral:rRNA from 1 species
AGAGUUUGAUCAUGGCUCAGAACGAACGCUGGCGGCGUGCUUAACACAUGCAAGUCGAACGAGAAAAUCCCCUUCGGGGGAUGAGUACAGUGGCGCACGGGUGAGUAACACGUGGGUAAUCUACCUUUAGGACUGGGCUAGCCCGGGGAAACUCGGAUUAAUACCAGAUAUGACCAUUUGACUUAAGUCGAAUGGGGAAAUGCGGGGGCUCUCUUCGGAGACCUCGUGCCUUUAGAUGAGCUCGCGUCCCAUCAGCUUGUUGGCGGGGUAAUGGCCCACCAAGGCUAAGACGGGUAGCUGGUCUGAGAGGAUGAUCAGCCACACUGGAACUGAGACACGGUCCAGACUCCUACGGGAGGCAGCAGUGGGGAAUAUUGGACAAUGGGCGAAAGCCUGAUCCAGCAACGCCGCGUGAGUGAUGAAGGUCCUCGGAUCGUAAAGCUCUGUCAGUGGGAGCGAUGGGAUUAUUGGUUAAUAGCCAAUGGUCUUGACUGUACCCGCAAAGGAAGCACCGGCUAACUCUGUGCCAGCAGCCGCGGUAAGACAGAGGGUGCAAGCGUUGUUCGGAAUCACUGGGCGUAAAGCGCGCGUAGGCGGCUAAAUAAGUCGGAUGUGAAAGCCCAGGGCUCAACCCUGGAACGGCAUCCGAAACUGUUUAGCUUGAGUCCCGGAGAGGGUGGUGGAAUUCCGAGUGUAGAGGUGAAAUUCGUAGAUAUUCGGAGGAACAUCGGUGGCGAAGNNGACCACCNNGNCGGUGACUGACGCUGAGGCGCGAAAGCGUGGGGAGCAAACAGGAUUAGAUACCCUGNAGUCCACGCCGUAAACGAUGGAUACNAGGUGCUGCGGNNNUUGACCCCUGNNGNGCCGUCGUUAACGCAUUAAGUAUCCCGCCUGGGAAGUA